GAUUUCAACUGAAAAAGUCAUCAAUAACAAAGUUGUAUAACUCAUCAAGAUCUAUAACUUCUAUUUUGGUCAUUUCUUCUUCCGACAAAAUGAUUUGCAAGGUUGUUCACAAAAUGUACAUCUGUAAUAUAUCUUUAUAAAAACUAUAUAAAAGAUGUAUAUUUUGUGAACAAUCUUGCAAAUCACUUUGUCGGAUGAAGAAAUGACCAAAAUAGAAGUUAUAGAUCUUGAUGAAUUAUACAACUUUAUUAUUUAUGACUUUUUCAGUUGAAAUC
rnacentral:pre_miRNA from 1 species